rnacentral:rRNA from 1 species
UGGAGAGUUUGAUCCUGGCUCAGGACGAACGCUGGCGGCGUGCCUAAUACAUGCAAGUCGAGCGGACCUGAAGGAGUGCUUGCACUCCUGAUGGUUAGCGGCGGACGGGUGAGUAACACGUAGGCAACCUGCCCGUAAGACCGGGAUAACUACCGGAAACGGUAGCUAAUACCGGAUAAUCAAGUCUCUCGCAUGGGAGGCUUGGGAAAGGCGGUUCUGAAUUUAUUCAGGGCUGUCACUUACGGAUGGGCCUGCGGCGCAUUAGCUAGUUGGUGGGGUAACGGCUCACCAAGGCGACGAUGCGUAGCCGACCUGAGAGGGUGAACGGCCACACUGGGACUGAGACACGGCCCAGACUCCUACGGGAGGCAGCAGUAGGGAAUCUUCCGCAAUGGACGAAAGUCUGACGGAGCAACGCCGCGUGAGUGAUGAAGGUUUUCGGAUCGUAAAGCUCUGUUGCCAGGGAAGAACGUCUUCUGGAGUAACUGCCAGGAGAGUGACGGUACCUGAGAAGAAAGCCCCGGCUAACUACGUGCCAGCAGCCGCGGUA